rnacentral:rRNA from 1 species
UUGAACGCUGGCGGCAGGCCUAACACAUGCAAGUCGAGCGGUAGCACAGAGAGCUUGCUCUCGGGUGACGAGCGGCGGACGGGUGAGUAAUGUCUGGGAAACUGCCUGAUGGAGGGGGAUAACUACUGGAAACGGUAGCUAAUACCGCAUAAUGUCGCAAGACCAAAGUGGGGGACCUUCGGGCCUCAUGCCAUCAGAUGUGCCCAGAUGGGAUUAGCUAGUAGGUGGGGUAACGGCUCACCUAGGCGACGAUCCCUAGCUGGUCUGAGAGGAUGACCAGCCACACUGGAACUGAGACACGGUCCAGACUCCUACGGGAGGCAGCAGUGGGGAAUAUUGCACAAUGGGCGCAAGCCUGAUGCAGCCAUGCCGCGUGUGUGAAGAAGGCCUUCGGGUUGUAAAGCACUUUCAGCGGGGAGGAAGGCGGUGAGGUUAAUAACCUCAUCGAUUGACGUUACCCGCAGAAGAAGCACCGGCUAACUCCGUGCCAGCAGCCGCGGUAAUACGGAGGGUGCAAGCGUUAAUCGGAAUUACUGGGCGUAAAGCGCACGCAGGCGGUCUGUCAAGUCGGAUGUGAAAUCCCCGGGCUCAACCUGGGAACUGCAUUCGAAACUGGCAGGCUAGAGUCUUGUAGAGGGGGGUAGAAUUCCAGGUGUAGCGGUGAAAUGCGUAGAGAUCUGGAGGAAUACCGGUGGCGAAGGCGGCCCCCUGGACAAAGACUGACGCUCAGGUGCGAAAGCGUGGGGAGCAAACAGGAUUAGAUACCCUGGUAGUCCACGCCGUAAACGAUGUCGAUUUGGAGGUUGUGCCCUUGAGGCGUGGCUUCCGGAGCUAACGCGUUAAAUCGACCGCCUGGGGAGUACGGCCGCAAGGUUAAAACUUAAAUGAAUUGACGGGGGCCCGCACAAGCGGUGGAGCAUGUGGUUUAAUUCGAUGCAACGCGAAGAACCUUACCUGGUCUUGACAUCCACAGAACUUUCCAGAGAUGGAUUGGUGCCUUCGGGAACUGUGAGACAGGUGCUGCAUGGCUGUCGUCAGCUCGUGUUGUGAAAUGUUGGGUUAAGUCCCGCAACGAGCGCAACCCUUAUCCUUUGUUGCCAGCGGUUAGGCCGGGAACUCAAAGGAGACUGCCAGUGAUAAACUGGAGGAAGGUGGGGAUGACGUCAAGUCAUCAUGGCCCUUACGACCAGGGCUACACACGUGCUACAAUGGCAUAUACAAAGAGAAGCGACCUCGCGAGAGCAAGCGGACCUCAUAAAGUAUGUCGUAGUCCGGAUUGGAGUCUGCAACUCGACUCCAUGAAGUCGGAAUCGCUAGUAAUCGUAGAUCAGAAUGCUACGGUGAAUACGUUCCCGGGCCUUGUACACACCGCCCGUCACACCAUGGGAGUGGGUUGCAAAAGAAGUAGGUAGCUUAACCUUCGGGAGGGCGCUUACCACUUUGUGAUUCAUGACUGGGGUG